rnacentral:lncRNA from 1 species
AGAAGGAUCUUAGGAGUUACUUAUUCCUUCACAAAGUACAUUUCAAAGAAAGCUAAACAAACUCCCCCAAACUUUCCACUCUUAGGGCUAUUUUUAUUUUGUGAUUUUCCAAGCCUCAAAACGAAAUUGGAAAAAAAAAAAGGGAGAAGAGAAGAAGAAAGAAAGAACCCUUGGCGGCUGCUUUUUAUAUGGUUUUAUAUGGUUUUAUAAGAGUGGGGAUGAAAUAGAAAUCAUGAUAGCACAAGGCCCCAAGUUUACAUUCUCAGAGGGAGGCCGAGCCGAGCCCAGCCGCUGGAAGCACUGAUGGCUUUAGGGAGGGCAGCUGAACUCACUAACGCCAGCCUGGUUCUAACGAGCCUGUGUAGUUUUAAGUGGUCUAAUCAGGCCCGCUUUUCACAAACACAAAUAAAUAAAAAUUGACGUUACAUCGGGCAACAAUAUGGCAUGGCCUAUGCAAUUAGAACCAGCUGAGUGUGUGCACCCCACGGUUUACAGAGAAGGCAGCCAUGCACUACACUCUGGGGACAGAUGUCUCUGUGGCUUCUCAACACACGUUCCAGGGCAGCAGUUCCCAAGCUCUCGCAAGGGGGAUGCAGUGUUACUUCUUUCAGCUGGUUCUGGGGCUCAUAUGUUACGACAGUCAUGUCAUAGGCUGGCAAAGCGCUGGGACGAGGUUUUCCCUUAAUGAAUGCACCAAAGGGAUGGAUCCAAUUGUUGUAAGGUGACAAAACCCUAGAGUUUCUCUGAGAAUGCUUUGACUCCAUGAAUUAAAAAAAAAAAAAAGGAACAAUGGAAGGAUGGGAGGCAAACCAUAGCAUAGAACUUUCAAUGAUUGUUCUAAGUUACAGAGCUAAAUGGGAUCAUUCCUGUCCAGGAAAGCCCCACUGCCCUGGGAACAGAGUCCAGGCUCUCCCAGCUCAGCUC